UACGUAGGGUGCAAGCGUUGUCCGGAAUUAUUGGGCGUAAAGAGCUCGUAGGCGGCUUGUCGCGUCGGCUGUGAAAACCUGGGGCUCAACCCCGGGCCUGCAGCCGAUACGGGCAGCGUAGAUUCGGUAGGGGAGACUGGAAUUCCUGGUGUAGCGGUGAAAUGCGCAGAUAUCAGGAGGAACACCGGUGGCGAAGGCGGGACUCUGGGCCGAUACUGACGCUGAGGAGCGAAAGCGUGGGGAGCGAACAGG
rnacentral:rRNA from 1 species